rnacentral:lncRNA from 1 species
ACAUGUCCUUAACCUUGGCACAACAAAUCUCUAAAUCGAUUGAGACCUGUCUCAGAUACUUCUUGGUUUACAAGAUGGAGGCUGAAAUUAAAGAGAAAGAUCCUCACUCAACUCACAGAGGAGCAGAAUGGGAAGAGGACUUAGUGAGAAUUCCCUGAACACAGGAGAAAACCGAAGCCCAGAGAGUGGAUGGCCAAGUCCAAGGUCACACAGCCAAGUGCAUCCGAGCAGCGCAGGAUCCAGGUUUCCUGCCCCAGUGCUCUUUCUGCAGCCCAUGCCACCUGUUUUCAUGCUAUCUCAGUUCACCUUCCAGCUACACACCUGCAAUCAGAAACAGAAAGUCUGAGAGUGUGUGUGGAGCCAAAGAGGGGACAGCAGUGGUGAGGCCAGUUUCAUGUCUUGUGAUUUAUUUUCUCCCUUUCUUUUUGGACUUUAAUCUUAAGUGGACAGCAAUUUGGAACAGUGUCAGCACCUUGUUGGAUUGUGCUGUUUGGGAGAGGUGACACAGAGUAUUUUAAAAGAGCAGGUUAAGAACUUUUCACAAGGAAUCAAUUGAGAGAAAAUAAAAUAGAAACAGACUGUCCCACAUUUGGGCUGAGCACCAAACACAUUUUUUUUUUUUUUUUUGAGACUGAGUCUUGCUCUGUCACUCAGGCUGGAAUGCAGUGGCGCGAUCUCGGCUCACUGCAGCCUUCACCUCCCGGGUUCAAGUGAUUCUUCUGCCUCAGCCUCCCAAGUAGCUGGGAUUACAGGUGCCCACCACCAUGCCAGGCUAAUUUUUGUAUUUUUAGUAGAGACGAGGUUUCACCAUGUUGGCCAGGCUGGUCUUGAACUCCUGACCAAGUGAUCCACCUGCUUCGGCCUCCCAAAGUGCUGGGAUUACAGGCACGAGCCACCGCACCUGGCCUCAAACAAGCUUUUUAAUUGCAUUCAGAAGUGCACCAACUAGGCACAGACCUCUGGCAUGGAGACAGAAUGGGAGGUUCUUGGUGUCUGGCCUGGUCUUGCAGAAAUCAGGGAGUUGUGGGGACCAGGCAGCCACUGUGCAUCAGAUAGGAGUUUCAGCAGCAGGCAACAGAAAGCCUGCCAAUGUAGCUGAAAUAAGAAGGGCUUAUUUUUAUCCCUGAACAGAAGCUUCCAGCACUGGUUCAUCAGAUCAGGGCACUGAGCUGGCAUCCCCAUUUAUACAGUUUUCCUUUCCUUCACCUUUGUAAGAUGCCUGGCACAGCUCUGAGCAUCAAAUAUCUGUGCCAUGUGGGAGCACACGAGGGGACAAGUGGGGAAUAGGGUCUCCUCUGUCCUCUGUCCCCAGGCUGGCUUCUCUCGUGGUAGAAGGACCCCCACAGCACCAGGCCUCAUAACUACCCUGCUGGUAAACUGCAGGUGCUGUCACGGCUUCCUGCCUUCGUAUAUGAAAUGUUCCUUGGCAGCUGGACUGCUGUUUGUUUACCGCACGCACAGCUCUGCUGCCUCUUGGUUACACCAGUGAGCUAUUGCUCCAUGACAAGCCACACCGAAAUGUAGCAAGCACUUAUUGUUGCCCACAUGUGUCAAGUCAGUUGAGUGUUUCUGCCAACCGGGGCCUGGCUUGGCCCACCUUGGCUGAGCUUGCUCUGGUGCUAGGGUCAGCUAGACAGGUCGGCAGGAGACCAGCUGCUCUAGAAGAGCCUGGACAGGAUGAAUUGGUUCUCCUUCCACGUGCAUCUUGCAUCCCUCCAGCCAAGGAUUUGAACCCAGGUCUCGUCUGACUCCAAAUGCACCAAGAGGAUGGAGCCCAGAGUGACACAGAGGAAGAGGCCCCUGGAUGGAUGCAUGGGGAAGAUCACGGGAAUUACAAGUGACAUCCUGAAGUAUGAUCACAAAUGUUUCAAAUUAAGCCUUCCUGCUAAGUUUCCAGAGGUGUGUGGCUCGGACGAAGUGUUUCCAGACCCUGAUCUACUGCAUGUCCUGCCUGUUGCUGGUUCUUUGCAGCAGUCCAUUGACCAAUGCUGUCUACAGCUUGAGAGCCUCUGCAGGCCAGGGCUGCUCUGUGCACAUCCUACGUUACUAUUCAAACUGCACAGCAGCAUGAAAAACAGGCCCUUCUUUUCUCUCAUUUACACAUAUGUGAAGAAGACACAGCAAGUGAGAAAACGUGACCGAAAGCCACGCGGACAGGUGGCCGCAGGGCCAAACCCAACUUCCGUGAUGUGAUCUGGCUACAGUUUGGAGCCCACAUAUUUCAAUAGUUAUCCCCAGGCCUGGCACGUCAAAGAGGCUCCAGAAAUGUUUGCUGAAGAGACAACAGAUUUACAUCCCAGACACAUUCACACUGGGCCAAGAGCAGCUGCCAUUGCAGAUUCGAGUCACGUCCUUUUUUCCUUCCUUCUCCUUCUUGGAGUUACAACAGAAGCUGGGGAGGUGAGAGUGCAGAAAGGACGUGGAUGAAGCAGAGAGGCACGUGCCUGUCUCAUUCGCCUCUGGAUCUGCUGCAUCCAGGACUGUGCCAGCACAAAGUGGGAGCCCGAUAAAUAUUUAUUGAAGAAAUGAAAGGUGACAAAAGGCAGAAGGAGGGAGACCCCAAAAAGAGUAUGAACCCAGCAUCACAGUGCACUUGUGGCAGAUGGCAGUGCAUACCCGGGAGCUACUCUCCUCCGGCCAGAUGCCCUUCUCCCAGCUGCCCGCCGUGUGGCAGCUCUACCCCGGGAGGAAGUACCGAGCAGCGGAUUCCAGUUUCUGGGAAAUAGCAGACCAUGGCCAGAUUGACUCUAUGGAGCAGCUGGUCCUAACAUAUCAGCCGGAGAGGAAAGACUGACACUGGGAGUGGCUGGCCCUGCUGGCCCUGCCUCUUCUGGCCUGGUGUCUCCUCAUGCCCCCUCAGUGAGGAUCUUCAUGUACCUGCUCUUCUGUUUGCACACCCAGCAUAGCCUCCUUGCAGGCAGAAGGCAGUAGGGCCCCUGCACACUCAGUUUCUCUCGUUUUCCUUAGUUAUCAGUCCUGUCCUGUCCCACUCAGGUCUGUACUUAGGGCAGCUGGCCUGGAUGGGCUUCACUGGGGCCCUGUCUGUGUGCUGAGCCAGUUUCCCCUGCUGGCUGCAAGCUGUGGGUUCUUUCUCCUCUGUGCCCCUCAUGCUGAUCUUCUAGAUGCCACUCCCAAAUCCCCUUCAUACCCACCAGGAUGUGUGCCCAGCCAGGCCUCCAGCACCCCCAGUGCAGCUCGUGAUUGGAAACUCACCAUCGGCAGGCAGUGGUUCGGUUUAAGAGAUGGCAUUAGAGGGAGCCCAGUCUGGAUGUGGACUUGGAUGCCCUGUGGGUAUCAGUUCUGCUGACACUUUGGCCCGAAAUAGAUCCAGUGCUGAGCAAGCAAUGUACACCAGAGCCUCAGUGAGCCCAUCUGCACAGUGGGGAGCAUGGAGGGAUGGGUUUGGCCUGUGCUUCUGCUUAUUCAGUCCUUCAGCUCACGGAAGGGAUGCUAGUCCGUGAAGGUGACCUCACAGUACUGGUUAAUUAAACUUUAUUGCUCACUGUC